rnacentral:tRNA from 1 species
GCCUGAAUAGCUUAUAAAGAGUGUGACAUUGAAGAUGUUAAGGAAAUUAAAAUAUUUUUAGGUA